rnacentral:rRNA from 1 species
GUGCCGUGAGGUGUCGGUUAAGUCCCAUAACGAGCGCAACCCUACCUUUAGUUGCCAUCAGGUAAUGCUGGGGACUCUAAAGGAACUGCCUACGCAAGUAGUGAGGAAGCGGGGAUGACGUCAAAUCAGCACGGCCCUUACGUCCAGGGCUACACACGUGCUACAAUGGCCGAUACAGAGGGCAGCUACCUGGUGACAGGAUGCAAAUCUCCAAAGUCGGUCUCAGUUCGGAUCGGAGUCUGCAACCCGACUCCGUGAAGUUGGAUUCGCUAGUAAUCGCGCAUCAGCCAUGGCGCGGUGAAUACGUUCCCGGGCCUU